rnacentral:rRNA from 1 species
GACGAACGCUGGCGGCGUGCUUAACACAUGCAAGUCGAACGAAGAGCGAUGGAAGCUUGCUUCUAUCAAUCUUAGUGGCGAACGGGUGAGUAACGCGUAAUCAACCUGCCCUUCAGAGGGGGACAACAGUUGGAAACGACUGCUAAUACCGCAUACGAUCUAACCUCGGCAUCGAGGAUGGAUGAAAGGUGGCCUCUAUUUAUAAGCUAUCACUGAAGGAGGGGAUUGCGUCUGAUUAGCUAGUUGGAGGGGUAACGGCCCACCAAGGCGAUGAUCAGUAGCCGGUCUGAGAGGAUGAACGGCCACAUUGGGACUGAGACACGGCCCAGACUCCUACGGGAGGCAGCAGUGGGGAAUCUUCCGCAAUGGACGAAAGUCUGACGGAGCAACGCCGCGUGAGUGAUGACGGCCUUCGGGUUGUAAAGCUCUGUUAAUCGGGACGAAAGGCCUUCUUGCGAACAGUUAGAAGG